rnacentral:rRNA from 1 species
UACAGAGGGUGCGAGCGUUGUUCGGAAUUACUGGGCGUAAAGCGCGCGCAGGCGGCUUCUUAAGUCCAUCGGUGAAAAUGCCGGGGCUCAACCCCGAGUGUGCCGAGGAUACUGGGAGGCUGGAGACGAGUAGAGGCAAGCGGAAUUCCGGGUGUAGCGGUGGAAUGCGUAGAGAUCCGGAAGAACACCGGUGGCGAAGGCGGUUCUCUGGGGCAUGAUCUGACGCUGAGGAGCGAAAGCGUGGGGAGCGAACAG